rnacentral:tRNA from 1 species
GCUCCCAUGGCAUAGUGGUCACUGCACUUGCCUUGCACGUGGGAGACCUGGGUUUGAUUCCCGGCGGGGUCA